rnacentral:lncRNA from 1 species
AUGAUAGAAAGAGUACAAUUGAGUAUGUGUUUUACUUGGGCGACACAGCUUUCACUCGGAGCUCAAAGAAGCAAUCAAUCGUAGCACUAUCUAUAAGUGAAGCUAAAUAUGUUGCAGCUACAUCAAGUGUCUACCAUUCGAUUUGGCUUAGAAACUUGUUGAAGACGCUUGGAGUAUCACAAGAAGAACCUACUGAAAUCCACGUUGAUAAAAAAUUGAGAUUGGCAUUGGCAAAGAAUCCAAUAUUCCAUGAUAGAAGCAAGUAAAUUGAUACAAGAUAUCACUUCAUAAGAGAAAGUAUUGCUAAAAAAGAAGUGCAGCUGAAAUAUGUAGCCUCCCAGGAGCAGAUCGUUGACAUUCGCACUAAGCCACUCAGGCAUGAUGUGUUUCGUAAGUUAGGAACUCUACUUGAAGUAGUAAAAUCAAGUUUAAGGGAGGAUGUUGAGUAGUAAACUUAAUUUUUGAACUAAAUUAUAUGGGCUUAAGAAUUUUGCCCAUAGGCCCAAAUUAAUUAAAAAGCCCAACAUGCCUAGUAUUUCUAGAAACAUUAUCUAGAAAAAUCUAUAUAAAUAUAUACUAGAAAAAUCCAUGUAAAUAUCUAAGCAAAAUAUGUGGUGAUAAAUGUGGUAAUGUGUCAAGAAGAAUAUGUGGUCUUAUAAAGUCUAUCUAGAGUAUUCUACGAAAAUAUCUUGUCCAAUGUGUGGUCCAAAAAUCUUACGUAAAUAUAUGGUCUAGAAUUCUCUAGAAAACGUGUGAACUAGAACCUUCAUGUAAACACUAUAAAAAGGGUAGUGCCCUCCAUUUUGUAACAAGCCAAAAAAAGUGUGUAAGUUUUGAAGUUUAGAAAUAUAAGUUUCCUUUUGUUCACUUCCUUCUUCCUAUUAGUGUUGUCUUCCUUAAAAGUCUUAGCCAAUCCAAGUUAGUAAAACCUUCCUUCCUCCAACAAACCAUACGUCGCAGUAACUUCAAAAGCCUCAAUUGUUGCUACAUCAAGCAAUAAGUUUCAUAUAUGCUCUUGUGAUUGUAAAACAUUCUUGAAGUUAAUGUUUAUGAUACCACGAGAGGAGGCAAAAGAGGACUAAAGAUAGCUAUUUUCCCUACCACCAAAAAGUCUGUAAGUACAGCUAUUACAAUUUCUAGAAGUAAGUUCAUCAAGAGGAUAGUUUGGGUGGUGGAAUCUUCCUAUCCAAAUCGCAGUUCUGAGAUUUAUAAGGAAUUUGCAAUUUAAGUACGUAAUACACUUCUCUAUAUUGUUCUUCAUCACAAUAGUAAAAAGAGGCGAGCUGUAAGAAAUCUAUGGGUAUAAAAAUAAAAAUCCACUGAAAUAAUUAAGAUCCCAUGUAAUAAUACAAAGCUCAAAAUUGCUACAAUUAAGAAAUACUCACUGACCGACUUGGUGUUAAUGGUCCAUAAAUCAUCAUUCCGAUUGAUUAUAAAUCUUGAAAAUUCACAGUGAAAAACACGCAUUUGAAGACUAAAUUUUUGGAUAACCAGCAGAGAAUGGAGAAUAAGUUCUUACGGGCCCGUGUAAGUGUGAUGGCGAGGUGCCGACAGGCGGGGAAAGAAGCCGAAUUUUUUGAAACUGGCGUCGAUUGUGACGACGAUAGUUAUGGACGAAAACACUUGAUUUCUUUCUCUCCACUACAACAUCUCUCAAAUAGGAAGCUUCUAGAAACUAAAAGACAGUGCCAGCGGGUGAGGAAGAGAGACACGUACAUACGUGUAAUGGUGAGAACGGCUGGGAGAAGGAAAUUCUCAAUUUUUUUCUCUCUAUCUACUCUAGAAACUAAUGGUAUGACUAAUGCCUCCUUGCCCAACAUACGAAUGGCUCAACCGACUAACAAUGAGCCGCUCUAAAAUUCUUUUGGUGAUUUAGUGGAAACAUCUGGCUUCUGAGCCAGCCAAUGAAUUGUGGCUUGUGAACAGUGUCAUUACAUUGCCUCUUUUAAUUGUAGUUAGAAAUUGGAAGAAGAUAAUCUUGUUUAAUUGAUUGACUAAUCUUUUUGAUUUAGAGCCAGGAUUUGUUCAACGUAGAUGACGCGUAUUUUGUUGACCUGCAACUCGGCGGAGUCCUCAUAUUGCGAGCGGUGGCAACCGAGGAUCAUUGUAGCUCUUUCUCAUCAUCAUCAUCGUCUUCGAUCGGGAAGAACAACGGCGAGUCAAACGGCGAUGGGGAGGAGAUACCUAGUGAAUAUAAAUGAAGGCCAUUGGAUAAGUAUAAUGCUUUGAAGGAAAUUUUUGCCUUUUAAGGUAUAUAUUCUCCUUUUCUUUUUCAGUUAAAAUUUCAUUUUUAAUAAGUUUUAC